rnacentral:rRNA from 1 species
ACUCAAAUGAAUAGACGGGGGCUCACACAAGCGGUGGAGUAUGUGGCUUAAUUCGAGGCUACGCGCAGAACCUUAUCCCGGGCUUGACAUGCACGGAUUAGCCGGCGGAAACGUCGGUGACGCCGCAAGGUGGAACGUGCACAGGUGCUGCAUGGCUGUCGUCAGCUCGUGCCGUGAGGUGUUGGGUUAAGUCCCCUAACGAGCGCAACCCCUGUGUCUAGUUGCCAGCGGGUCAUGCCGGGAACUCUAGACAGACCGCCGGCGUCAAGCCGGAGGAAGGCGGGGAUGACGUCAAGUCCUCAUGGCCCUUAUGCCCGGGGCUGCACACGUACUACAAUGGGGCGGACAGAGCGAAGCGAUGCCGCGAGGCCGAGCCAAUCGCACAAACCGCCCCCCAGUUCGGAUUGCGGGCUGCAACCCGCCCGCAUGAAGCCGGAAUCGCUAGUAAUCGCGGAUCAGCAUGCCGCGGUGAAUGUGUUCCUGAGCCUUGCACACACCGCCCGU